UUAUACAUACAUUUCUACUUAAACCGAUAUUUAUCUUAGUUACUAGUGAUUUUUUUCCGAAAAGUUGGAAAUACAAUCUGAACCUGAAUUGAUUUAUGUAUAUUCAAUUAUCUGGAUAGAAUGUAUUGAAAUCAAUAUUUAUUGGUUCAAUGAAAAUAGGCUGGUGGACCAGAAGGUAGACAUGGAGCUUCACCAAGUGGUGGACACGCUAGAGACGAUUACAGAGGAAUAGUUAAACCGGUUUAGACAUGUGAUGUAUGGGCCCUUAUUUAUGACUUUCCUCGUUUUAGUUUAGACUUUCUGGUUGAGAUGAGAUGCAGACGUCUCGUUUUAUCCUUAUUGGGCUUUUGUGAAUUUUAACUGCCCAAUUACAUAAAGAGUAAGAGAAGGUUGCAAGUCUGUUUUAGGCUUUUAGCAAUAAGUAAAUCUAUACUAAUAAAGUUGCCUUUUUUCUCUUCUUGGGGGGAAUUAAAACACGUGGCACCCUCAGUCCCGUAUUGGGCCAUGUAUUUCUGAAGCCUUUUUGUUCUUUGGUCUAUUGUUUCAUAAGUAUCUGGGCCUAGGGUGUGAGUUUGACUUACUUUUCUGGCCUGGUCGCCAUAGGUUUCUCUGUCGCCUAGGGUGUGAGUUCUUCGGCCUACGUUCUUUUUUCAGAUGAGAAACAAUGAAAAAAUCUGAAGAGCGUUACAACUUUUCAUUUGGAUCUCCUUGCGUUCCCAGAGGAACAUACUGGAGCUUCGGGUAUAAAUACCCCCUCAUCCAGAGAUGAAGAUUACAGCUUCUCUGAGAAUCUUUAGAAUACUCUGUUCAACUUUCCGGUAAUUACAAUGGGGAAUCCCCAAACCCUUCUUGCCGAUUUGAGAGCUGGCCGGUGCUCCAACACUGCAGAGGUUAGGUUGCUGGAGGCUAGAAAUGUGAGGAAAGGCAGUGAGCUAAUGAGUCUUGACAUGCUCUUUGUCGAUGAGAAUUCGACUCUGACCCAAGGAUCUAUUAGUGCGAACCGUCAACUUAGGUUCAGGGAACGUCUCAAAGGGUCUCUCUACACGUUAACUGGUUUUGACGUCACACGCAGCAGCCACAAUUUUCGGUUGUCUGAUGCUUCCUUCUCGAUUCGGUUCAAUGAUGGAACCUCUCUUGAGAAGAAGACGGAGUCUGUUAGGCCCAUACCUUUGGAACUUUUCAGAUUCAUGCCAUAUAGUCAGUUGCUUGAGCUGGCGACCACUGGCAAACAACUCCUUCAUAUGUAUCUUCAGUCUGAGUAGUUUUAAUGGUUUUGUGAUAUCAUGUGUUAGCGUAAUCACAUAAGUUCUUUAUCAGACAUACUUGGUGAGUUGAAUGCAAUCUGCGUCUUCAAAGUGGUGAAAGUGUUAGUAUGUUUGAUUCGAUGGCUCUUGCAUUUCAUACCAAAUUUGACAGCUAUGGGAAAGAGCCAAAAGUUAUAAUUGCCACGAGCGUGAAUCCUAAGAUAGUUGGUGGUGACUUAUUAUGUAACAGACCAAGAAAGCUUCAACAGUGCCAAGCAAUGGCUAAACCAAAUCGGCCGCUACACCAGUGAGAAUGUGAACAAGCUACUGGUUAGGAACAAUUGUGAUCUCACUUCACAGAAAGUUGUAUCCGCUGAAACAACCAAGUCUUUUGCAGAUGAACGUGGGAUCCUAUUCUUGGAGUCACACGCCAAGAAUGCUACCAAUGUCGAAGAAUGCUACCGUGUUUGUCGCAUUAGACGGUGAAAUGACGAAGCUGAUUAGUGUCCAUGCUGCAGAGGUCCCACAAAUUAUAUUUGUCAGAAAGAAACAGAUGUGAUCCAAUUUCUUAUAAAUAAAGGUUCUCUUAAAGCUUGCUCAUCAACUCAUCUUUGUUGAAGUAAUCAAAACCUAGGUACAGCAACGUGCUUAAUCCAUCGAAGAUUGCUUCAUAAAAAAGGCCCGAUAAAGACAAGACGACCAAAAGACCACUGAUUUUACAUUGGUAGGACGCCACAUUUAAGAUAUUUUCUUAACUACUCUUAAGUUUUAGUUAUAAUGAAAGCCAGCUGUUUCAUAAACACUCUGGCAGCCACCCAACUUCAGAGUUUACGAAUAGUUCAGUUUCUUAAACAGAGCCCAACGAUGAAGUUCAUGUUGCUGGAGAUUGCUGUAAAACAAAUGAAUGAUUAGAAACAUAAUCACACAUGUAAAAAGCUACCAAAGCAUUUUUUACAUGCAAUGAAAUAAAAGAUAAUAAUAUGGCCUUAGUUGUUUGAGUGUUUUUUUUUAUUUGGAAUUUUGGUUUCAUCUAUAUAAUUAUUUUCUCAAACUUAAUUUACAAGGUCAGAAUAAAUCACUAAAAUGUUACUCAAGAAAUAUUUACAAAUAAGAUACAUGUUUGAAGUUGGAGCUGGAUGCACAGAAUAAUGUGAUUUUAGUAUUUGAUGUUUUUAUAAUGCUGAAAGUAACAUAACAACAGUCUGUGGUGUUACACGAAAAAAGAAAAAAAAAAUGUGGUAUUUACAAUGGAGACAAAGACAGCAACAAUAAAAUACGAAAGCAUAAUAAAAAGAUGUCAAUAGUCACCAUAAAGCGAUGGAGUAGCGAAAGAUAAAGAAGAAACAUGUGAUAGAGUUGGGUGAAUUUUAGUAUUUGACUAAGAAAACUUUUGAAUAAAAACAUUAUUAGAGACAUACUCAUAAUCACAGAUCAUAAAAUAUAUUAAGAUAUA